AACGUAGGUGGCGAGCGUUAUCCGGAUUUACUGGGCGUAAAGCGUGUGCAGGCGGGGGUCCAAGUGGUGUAUGAAAUUUCCCGGCUUAACCGGGAAGGGUUAUGCCAGACUGGACUUCUGGAGUGCGAGAGAGGGGCGUGGAAUUCCGGGUGUAGUGGUGAAAUGCGUAGAGAUCCGGAGGAACCCCAGAGGCGAAGGCGGCGCCCUGGCUCGCAACUGACGCUCAGACACGACAGCAUGGGGAGCGAACGGG
rnacentral:rRNA from 1 species